UAACCUACACCUAAGCCUAAGCCUAGGAC
rnacentral:sRNA from 1 species